rnacentral:lncRNA from 1 species
CUCGUGCUUAAGACACAAAGGGAUCCGCAUUGCUGUCCUGAUUAACACGAGCUACAAGACGCUCUGAGUCGGAGCAUUUCAAUUAAUUUAAACCGUAAAUGAAUGUUGGACAGGUUAAUAUCGAACUAUUACUUUGUGUCGUGUUUAUGUAUAACGGGAUGUUCCUGUUCUUAAUUUAAGAGGGUCAUUCAUGCUAAAUUAUACCAAAUGAGGGUCCGAGAUUACUGCGUUUGAAUUUGAACGCGAAUCCUAUUAAAACGGCUUUUAUUUGCACUGAUAAAUGAUACAGAUUCAUCCUUCAUAGGUAAGCAAACGUUUUUUUUUCUCGGUUGUGUGUACAAUACAGUGUAUACAUUUGUGUCUGCAGAGGUCUUCCGCACAUUGAGGGGCGACACGUGUUGCGCUUGAUCCCAGUCUGUUUUGAAUGGGUGUAUCUUCUCUGUUUGAGGCUGCGAGUCGGUUACGGGGACGUCCACCAGUGACGAAGACGGGUGCCGCAUCUUCCUCACCACGGAGUCAGUCGAUAAUGACGAAAAAGCACCAAAUCAUGUCCCAUCACGUUCGCAUUUCUUCUGAGCGGAUCGUAAAAUAAGGUCCUGGUACGUGGUUUCGUCUCCAGGUAAGGAAACGUGAUUUUUGUCACUAAACCAGUCAAUGAGCACACUGGGGUACAAGGCUACUUCUUGUGGAGAUUCUGGAAGAGAUGAAAGGAAAAGCAGAUGCCCCAACAUCGGAGCUCUCUCCCAGUCGGACACCAGGAGCCCUGACGCCCUCAUCCUCCCCCAUCGGCUCCAUCUCUCCGGUCGUCUCUUCUGGACGUCGGGCUCCAGGAUCUCAGGGAAGGUUCCCUCCUCCCAGCCCGGCUCAGGCCUGAGGAGUCUGGAAGAUCAGGAAGAAACUCCUCCUGGACCUCGACUCUGGGAGGUGCCCAGCGCCUGGACCCCCCCGGAGACUCGGGCUGACCAGGAGGAGCCCAGGGGUGUCAUCAGAACCACGGAACAAGGGGGAGAGAGCCUGUGGACAACACGCCUGUGUUUAUCCAGGACGGGUCACCAGAACAGCAGCUCUGGACCGGAGCAGUCGGGACUCGGUGGAGCACAGGCUGCCUUCAGGCCUGUUUAUUCCCACCAGACACAGCUCCUGCAGGAGGAACCUGACCCUGCAGGCAGGGAGAGAGAUGCUGGACGUGUCCCGCAGGUUCGCUCAUACAGGGACACAGUCUGGAAGUCCUGCUCCCUGAUGGAGUCCGUGAGAUCAGGGUGA